AUUUGAUUGGAUGUAACUGUAACUGCAGACCUCUAAUAGUGGCUAGUGUGAUGAUGAGCUCUGUGACUUUUAACCUGUUGACAAUAGCACUGCUGCACUGUACCUCUGUUGUACCAGAGGCUGAGCUGUCUGGUCUGGUGGGCCUUUCUGGUUCAACUGCAACGUUGUAAGCCACUGAACACUCAGCCUGAGUCUGAAAUGGCACCCUAAUUCCCUAAAAGUAGAGCCCUUAAGUAGCAGACUCAAUCAACCACAGGCCACCCCGCUAAGCUGUAACGGCUCUUUGCUAAUUGGUCCUCUUGAUUAUAGAUACUGUUAAAAGGGGUCGCACGCCUACGGUCUUAUGGAAAACGGGUGUAUGGUCCCUGUGUAUCUAUGUAUGUAUUGUGUAUUUUGCAUAUUGACUUUUCAGACCCCAGACAGACUCUCUACCAGACAGGUCGGCUCACAAUGGCACGAUGGCUGCAGACAGACUGCUCUGUACUGUUUGUGGUUGUAGAAACAAGACUGGUUUGUUAGUUUGUGUCUGUGUGUGUUGCUGUUGGAUGGAGGACAGGUCUGUUAAUUAAUGAACUGGCUCCUUCCUUCCUCUGUGUAUGCGACGGGAUUGUGGCAGACUAACGAUGUUCGGAGGGAGAAACGAAUCCUCCGCUCCUUGAGAGAAUACCACUUAUGCCUCCUCUAAACUAGAGACAUUUAUUCAAACCCGGACUCAGACUGGUACCUUUUUGUCUUUCUUCAAGCUGCCUUUUCUCUGUCAGUCAGUGAGAGACUUUGAGUGGCGAGUCAGUGGGCGUUCAUUCUGUUUCUCCGUGUGCCGGAUAGGACAAUUGGAUAUGGUGGUGCCGACGCAUCAUAAAACCUGGUUUAGCUUAAGCCCAAAAAUAUUGACUAACUGUAGUAGGACAUUCGGGUGAAGCCUCAGCAUUCGGAGAACCCGGUCUGUUCUCAAUGCUGAAAUGAUUUAGCGUCCAGAUGAAGCCGCGGAUUUUUGACUAAACUCAAUACUCUAUCAGGUUUCUUGAGUGUAAAUUCUAAACUGAAAUGGAAGUUAGACUUGACUCAGUGUUAUUGGAAAAACUCUGCUUUCCCUUUCUUAGGUUAGACAAAAAAGGUCCUAAGCAAUCCCUGCCCUGCACUGGCUGGGUGGUUCAGAGGGACUGGCAGACAAGCACUGUCUGUUAUCCCUCCCUCCCCCCCGGUCUCCAGUCCAUCUGUCUGCUAUAACCUGCCUUGUGAAUAGAUUGAGGGCUUCAGACUUCUUCACAGCUUGAACUGGAUUUGUUUUGCUUUCAUGGUCUUUCUCGCAAUCCUCACACAGCAAAUUGUUAACAAUAUAUCUGGAUGUCAUUAUUGUUUGCAACAUAAUUAAAGAAAAAAUCUCAA
ensembl:lncRNA